ensembl:lncRNA
ACAGCCCUGCUAACAUUGCACACCUGGUUAAGGCAGACAAGAACUGAAAUAUCUUUCUACCUGAAUUUGCAGGGCUGAGGGGGAGAAUCUUAAAAGCUCGAGUGUAAUGACCUUACAUGAGAAUUUGAACCCAAAAUGAAGAGUUAAAACUUGCCUCAUAAUAAAAGAUGGAUAAAGCCAUUAUUAUCAAAGAGAGGGUCUGCCAGGCACCGGGCUAGGGUAUGUCUUUGAGGUGGAGAGGAACGCUGCCUCCUAUAGCAUUAUUGAGGGUCCCAAGUACAGGGUGAUUUCUCUUCUGUGUAGACCCAAGCCGAAUCACUCCAGGAAUAUUGGCAAGAGCCGGUGGUGGGCUGCAGCAGUUGUGUGGAAGCGGUCAGUGACCCCAUAGAAAGAUGAGCUUUGGGCAAGCACAGACAGGAAGGGUGAAUGAACCCUGAUGGUUUAGCAAAGCAAGGGCCAGGUAGUUACAGUAAGAGGUGGUCUUGUCCCGUUCAGUGCUCUGUUAAUUAUCCAUGUGAGCAGGAAUUGUUUCUCUGGAGCAGUUACUGAUACAAACAGUUAAUGAAACUCCAUCUGUAUAGCGGCUUCCAAGUGGGAGUGCAGGCUGAAUUCAUUAGUUUCACAUGUUCAGUUUUUUUUUUUUUUUCUGAAGCCAGGAGAAAACCCACAGUCCAAACAAACAGCAUUUGUAAAGUUCUGAAAAGACACUGCUACUGGAAAUGAGGAGAUGGGGGGAAAAAUGAAUAAAUGCUUUCAAGCAAACGCUACUUUCUUUAAAAUGAAAAACAAUGGUAAAGGCUUCCAUAUGUAAUUAAAAUCUCAUCCUUGAAGUUACAUUGCCACUGGCUCCCAAAGAACUCAAUUAACAGGAAACUGCAAAGAAUAUGGUAUUUUCUUCAAGAUACUUUAAGAAGUACUACUAAGAAGACAAUAGGUUGGAGAGUAGCUUUUACCACUAAAUGAUAAGCAAUUAUUGUUCCUUCCAGGGUAGAAGAAAAGGGAGUAUGCUAAGAAAAGUAGGUUUAUAAUAUAAAAUUAGAUUUUCAAGUGUGCAUAUUUACCCCUAGACCUAAGCUGAAAAUGAAACGUUUGUGCAAAGUCCAAACUUGACUAAGAAAAUUCUUUAAAAAUAUACCACAACCCCUCCCCUCCCCCACCAUUCAGCCUAUUUCACCUGAGAAAGGAAAGGCAUUCCCUACAUGCGCACUCGACUGAGGUCUCCUUGUUCAGAGACUUUCUUAAAACUGAAGAUGGAACGCAGUCCUGAGGACCACCUCGCUCCUCAAAGUCAGUUUCUAGGAGCCCUGGAUACUAUUUAAUUUCAAAGUAUUGAAUGAGGCUUCCAUGGUAUGUGGUGAUGGUAAAAAGAAGAGGGGAUAACUUUUGUCACUCUGCAUGUUAGUGAAGUUGACAACCAAGCCUGGCAGCAGUUUGUGACUUGACCAAACCCUGCUUCAGGUGUCUGCCUCUUGGAGUUGCUAAAAAUUGGCUCUUGGAAAUUUAGCAUCUAAAACAAGCGGCUGCAGAGCCCGGGCACUGACAGACUGGAGGUUUUCUCACCUUGCCGAAGGUGGACCACCAUCCACACCUGGGAAGAGGCAAAUGGCAGCACAGCUAUCAGAGCUAAUGAGCAAAAGCGGGGACACCUGGGAUCAAAAAAUUAAAUUAUAAAUAAAUAAAUACCAGCAAACUAUCUGUUCGUCUCUACCUGGGAGGACCUAGGAAGGCUAAAUAGCACCUUCAUUUCUGGACUUUCCCUUUGAUCACAGCAGCAGACCCUGGGAAUUAUCCCUUCUUUUCUUACAGGUUUUUUAUUUUUUAUUUUUUUUCUUGGUCCUUAAUGGAGAUCUUGAACUGCAGAGCUGCCGUGUCAGAACUCAGAUGGUUAACAUUCACUUCUCGCUGUUUUAUUGCAUAUUACUGUGCGCGCCCGAGCAGCAGGAGCAGAUUCGGGCAAUUACAAUCAAGUCAGGGCACACGCCGCGGCGGGGCAACACGAGCAUGAUGAGGGUACUGAUGAGGCACUUAUCGAAAACCCCACAUCAUCCACACUCAUCAGCCACAACAUGUCACCCCAAAUGAGGCAUCAGCUGCCUUCAAAAGGCUCAGUGCACAGUGUUUACCGCUUUCCUCGGACCCGCUUUUGAUUUUACGGUCAGAGCUGGGUUCAAACAGCAGCUGUCUGGCAAAGACAGGUCUCCAGCUUCUAGCAGCCUCCCCCCACCCCCACCUCCAGAGUCCUUGGGGCUUUGUCUGGGAAGCUAUGGGAGCAGGUCCUGGCAGGGAGAGGGGACGUGGGAAGGCAGAGAAGUGUCCAGUUCCGUUUCUCUCUCCAAGAGGAAUCCCUUCCCCAGAAGGGGCCCUUGAUUAAUUUCAAGGACUAGCACACAGUGGUGGCAUAAGGGGGUGGGGGAGGAGAGAAGCCAAAGAAGGAGCUUUUACAGAUCUCCUUAAAAUAGUAACAGGGUGGGUGGGACCUCUCACUGCAGACUGAAGUCCUAGAAAGGUCAACCCAUUUGGCAAAGACAUAUCCAACCAGGAGAGCUGUUUAAGUGACUUUUCAGCACCCACCUCCCAUACCCACUAGUGCGUGCCACCUCAGCUAUCCAAAGCAGUGGGAAGAAAGGACAGCACAUGGCUUCGAGCCUGACAUGUUGAACUGCAAGAUUCCACUCCUGACGCCAGAAUUUGUCAAGAGGACCGCAUUGUUGUUUCUCACUGAGGCAUAGGACUGACUGCGGGCCAUUGUUUCUCCAGCUCAAGUGGGCCUGUCUGGUUCGUGUUGGAAGAAUAGGGGCGACAUGCGUGAGUUCCCAAGUAUAAAGGAACUACCGGUUCUAGAAAGACACGGGAGUUUAGCCACUAAUGCAGAGUAAAUAAACAUUUUUCACCACCUCUUGCUCCCUGUGAUUUUUUUUUUUAAAGGUCAAGAGCUGCCAUUACAGUAUUUUAAAAGCUUCAAAUUAUGUUUAAAGCACGUAUCACUAAACUCACAGAAACCUUAUCAGAAUUUGGGAACCCACUGUGAUUGUUUGGUCCUUGAGUUUUAUCAUCACUGGAAGGCAGACUGUAAAAGGAAUGCAGAUGCCCUGUCGCUUCUAAUAUCCUGCAAUUUGCACAAAGUGAAUGUGGCUCAAGCCCUUCCACAUUUCCCUCAAAAUACUGCAAGUAUGGAGACUGGUCAGUUUCAAAUCUUCCUAAGGUCCAUGUUGCAGGUCACACAUUCUAGACAGAUAAGAGUAAGCCUUUGGGAACCUUUCAUGAUGAGCAUGUUCAAAAUGCAAAGAACGGGUCAUGUUCCUGGAAAAUCUCCAACUGUGUGUGCGAAAGAGAGAGUAAAAGGCAGAGGGAGAUUUCUUUUUUAAAUUAAAGAAUAAAAAGCUUACUUCAAGAAAGUGUAGAGUCACAGCAGAAAGACUUCCUCAGCAACUGAGGUUUACAGAUUUCAAAUUAGGAGCCCUUAGAUCACGGCUGCUAGGCUAAAAAUCAAUUCUAUAUUUUCCGAGUUAAUACGAAGGAUUGCACUUAACAGACACGGAGACUAAUAAGGUAUGCAGAAGGAGUAAAAGCAGCACACACACACACACAAAUUCAGGCCUUAGUUUUGGCCAUGAUCCAGCACAAUGAUGUUUCAACCAGAUUUGAAAAAAAAAUCAAUAACAUCUGUGGUAUAAUGGUUAAUUAAAGCAGCUCUUCAACAGAGCUCAGGAGGAGAGGCUCGGCCUGAAAUUCAGACAGCUGAAGCUUGAUUAUCAGGAAAGAAUGCUUUUUUAGCUAUGAGUGGAUAGGCCAAAAGCUGCAAUGUGCUGAAAUGGGGAGAAAAAUUGCUUUUAUUUUAACUUUCUUUAAGUAAUCAAUACAUGCUUUUCACCUGUAUUAGGCCACUGCUCAGCUCCAAAGCCUGUUACUCCACUUCAGCAUAAAUUCUAGCUACUGUCUUCUGAACCUUAGGUUUAAAAAGGAGCCCUAGUCUCUGAAAAGCAAAAGCAGCAAAAGAAAAGAAUAUGCAGGUAUGGUUGUAUGUCCUUGAGAGUGGUUAAAGCCAGGCUCUGAGAUAGUUCGAAGAGUUUAAUCCGUAAGCUAUGAGCAAAGCUGACCUAACCUUCGGUUAUACAGAGGUCACAGCCAGAGUAUGAAGGGCGCACAAUAAAAUGACUAAAAAUUCUCCAGGAGAUGAUAAAGGACAGGGUCAAAUUUCCCCCUUCUUUUUCUCUUCCUGUUGUUCUGAGUUCCGCACUAGGGAUGUUUACCUUUUUAAGGACAAAGGCCAAAGAAUUAACAACGAUGUCUUCUGGCCAUAGAUGGCAAGAUAUUGUUCCUGGACAGUGGAAUCUGCAUCUUCACAUCACUUGUCAAAUUUUGAGAAGCACUUGCAAAACCAUACGGCUCUCUCCAGAUGACACAAACCUCACAAGAAAACCAACAAAUAAUACAGCUUGCCAAUCAGUCAUUUAUUUUUUCAUUCAAGUUUUUAUCAGUGCCAGGUAUCUAUCCACCGCUGUGUGGGGUGUCAAGGUUCCAAAGACUAGUAAGAGAUGGCUCUUGACUCACAAAGCUCAUUGCCUGUUUGCGGGGUGUGUGCGUGUGAACAAAUAACUGCAAACACACUGGAAAAGAGCUUGAAUAGAAGGGUCAACAAGAGCUACAAAUUUUGAAACUCUUUUCCACCAACUGUGCUCAGAAAGGGGCAAAGUGAGGGUUUGGGAACUUCAGCAGGGAAUGAUACUAGAGCAGAAUCUUAGAGGAUGAGGAAGAAUUUCCAGGCAGACAAGGGAGAAUGGAAAGCAGGGAAGACAUUCAGAAUUAUGUAUACUUCCUGGUGGCUCAGAUGGAAAAGAAUCUGCCGGCAAUGCAGGAGACCUGGAUUUGAUCCCUGGGUCAGGAAGAACCCUUGGAGAAGGGAAUAGCUACCCAAUCCAGUAUUCUUGCCUGGAGAAUCACAUGGACAGAGGAGCCUGGCAGGCUAUAGUCCAUGAGGUGGCAAAGAGUCAAACACGACCAAGCAAUUAACACUUUCACAUGUGAAAUUGCAAGGAUUAGUUAGUUCAGAAGAAUAUAUAUGAAAAAAGUGAUACAAAUGUCUUAUAAAAUCUUCAUAAUUAAUCUUUAUAUUUUACAU